rnacentral:rRNA from 1 species
CGCUGGCGGCGUGCCUAACACAUGCAAGUCGAACGAAGCACUGGCGAAAGAGACUUCGGUCAAUGGAACCUUGACUUAGUGGCGGACGGGUGAGUAAUGCAUGAGCAACCUGCCUUGGAGAGGGGACAACAGCCGGAAACGGCUGCUAAUACCGCAUGAAGUCGUUGGAGGGCAUCCUCUGACGACCAAAGAUUUAUCGCUCUGAGAUGGGCUCAUGUCUGAUUAGACAGUUGGCGGGGUAACGGCCCACCAAAUCUACGAUCAGUAGCCGGACUGAGAGGUUGAACGGCCACAUUGGGACUGAGAUACGGCCCAGACUCCUACGGGAGGCAGCAGUGGGGAAUAUUGGGCAAUGGGCGCAAGCCCUGACCCAGCAACGCCGCGUGAAGGAAGAAGGCUUUCGGGUUGUAAACUUCUUUUAUCAGGGACGAAGAAAGUGACGGUACCUGAUGAAUAAGCCACGGCUAACUACGUGCCAGCCGCAGC